ACAGUGGACACACCGAUGCCCACAGACCCAGGAUAGGGCAUCUGGACAUGGAUCUCGGCGUGUUUGGCUUUCUCUGUCCCAGGGGCUGUCCCUAAGUAGGGAAGGGUGAAGGCCCCUGUGGGCUGUGCAUCUUGGGUCUGUGGCCUGAAGAAGAAUCCUUUCCUGCUCACGAUGGAUAUGCCUUAUGACCUCGCAGACCGCAAAAAGAAGGAGAUCCAAAGCUGAAAAGCGCCACAGCCCCCAGCCUCCUCUCCACCUUUCCAUUCUCCCUCAGCAGAACCUGGAGGCCUCAGAACGAAAGGUACUCGGGCAUUUAGUGCUUUAGAAUCUGGGUGUUGGGGGAAUGGUGGGAAGUCAGACCACACUGGACUUCCCAAUGGAGUCUAGAAUGGAGAGAUGGGAGAAAAAGGCUGGGGAAAGGGCAGGAUAUACAUCUAGGAACUAGGGUUUUCCAGUGGUCCCAAGUUCCAGGUCUAGACUGUGAGAUGCUGCAGCUGUCGGUCAGGUACAAAGACAGUGACAUCUUUUCUCUUACACCCUGUGUCCUCCUCUCACCAGACUGUCCACACGCCAGCUGGUUUCUCCAUUUCACUUCACCCCACCAACCCCUCCCAUAGCUCCCCUUCCCUCUGCCGAGACAGCAGCCUUAGUGAUAUCACAAAAGCUUUAUUUUCAGAAAACCGAAAGAAACAAAAUCAAAAUCAAAACCAAUCAUUUUUACCUGGCCCCUGCCCCAGCCCUCCCACCCACCCACACAUCCUCCUUUUGGGGGGGCACCUGUGAUGCAUGCAGAAGGGGUGGGAGCUGAAGGAACCUACAUUCCUUAAACAGAAAGAAGUCCUUUUGAGUCUAGGUAUCCUCGUCCAAGUCAACACCACUCCCAGCCUUGCCCCCUCUCCAGACACAUCAAGAAGGAAUUCUGAGGUGGUGCCAGAAGGUUUGCCCUGAAGUUCCUCGGGAAAUAGGGUGGCCAGGCCAGCACCACCCCAGGCCUUCACCAGUUACAGCUCAUCUUCAUCCAGCUUGGCAAGUCUGGCUUGGCAGGGAGGGGUAUUUGGGAUUGGUGGAGCUGGAGGAGAGUCACGAGGAGCUUGGGGGAAGUCACUGAGGGCCUGAGGAAAGACUCAAGUCAGAGGAUAAAAAAAGUUCCGGAAUCCACCCUCACUCCUGUCUUUUCAGUGCAUGCCCUAGCCAAGCCACCUCCUCUUGCCAGGCAUCUUAGAUGAUCCGAGACCAUCAGCCUCUCCCAGGGUUGAACUGGAGGAGGGACAGGUAAGAGUAGGGCAGUAGGAAGGGGCAGACAAAAGGCAGGUGGUGGUUAUAAGGAAAUAUGGGGGGAAGGGAAUUUAGGGAUCCCAGAACAAGAGGAGCCCUCCCCAUUCUAUAGCAGGGGCGCUCCAUUCCUCAUACCUGUGUGUCCAGGGGCAGGGGGGCUCUGGCCACCUCCCUUUUGGGCAACAGCAGCAGGGAGGGGAGAGAGCCGUUGAUGGGUGCUUGUGUGCUGACCUGGGCCUGGUCUCCAGGCCGGAUUCUCCCAGGACUCCCCACUCUAAGCCCUCCUGGCCGCCCCAGGCUGUUGGUCUGACUCUCCCUCCUCUGAUACUCAAUGGGUGACUGCAAUGCUGGGGCAAAGAGAGGAACAGAAGGAGAGUUACAACAGAGACAGGCCUUUUCCCUAAGAGCUCUGCCCAGACCACCCUCCCACUUUGCCCUCCUCCCAUGAACUGUCAGCCAGUAUAAAUUGCUGGGGAGAUGAAGAGAAGCUGGGGUCAGAGGGCAGGGAUUGGAGACUGGGCAGUGAGGGAGGGAUUCAGGAGGUCAAAGGGCUGAAGGAACAUGUGGGGGAGGGAGGGUGAGAGCUUCACCAUUGAGAAAGUUCCGCUGGCUUUCCAGGAUCUGAGCCACUUGCUUGAUCCAGGCCUGACUGACCGCAGGAUCUGCAGUCUGUAGGACAUAGCGCUGGAUCCCACCCUCUGGCCCUCUGGAGGUCAGUGCAAAGCGGCAAGGGUCACCUUGAAGGUUCCCCUCCAGUCCCAGGCAGCUCACCUGGAUUGGCAAAUAGGAGACAGCCCCCAAAUUCUUUAGGCCCUCUCUGGUUCCUGCCCCUUCCAACAAAUCCAAGAACCAGACAUUCUCUCAGAGGUCUCACCCUAUCCCAGGCAGACCCCUCCCUUGUGGCCUCCUCCCCACCUUGAUGCUGCUUUUGUACACAUAUCCAGCCUGCGUUCCACCUCGUACUCCUCCUCCCAGGGCCUCGCUGAAGAUGAUGAUUUGCUCAAAGAGGAAGACACGUCUCUCUCGACCCCGGGAGGAGAGCAGACCGCCAGCCUCAGGCUCUGUGACCCAGAAUGUGUCCUGGCCCAAGAGCUUCCCCUGAGCAGUCAGUUUGCCCUAGAACCAAAGGACGGUGGCUUUGAGAAAAAAGCGAGAAGAGAAAAGGGACACUCUCUGUUCCUCCCUCCUUCCCCUGACGCUCCCAACCAACCAUGGGGUCAGUCCCAGGGGAGGACAAUUCCCCAUUAGGACGUCCCAAGUACUCAGACUGGGGCAGAAGAGCAUUGGGCCUCCAGUUUCCUGUUCUAUCCCCAUACCUCAAACCCCCGAAGUCUCCCCAGGGUCAUCAUGUCAUUGCAGCGCUUGGGUACAAAGCACAUGACCUCCACAGCUUGCUGGGUCACAGGUGAAGAGAGAAGCAUUGUCAUUGUCAAGGAAGAGACCUCUUCAGACCAUGUUUCACCUCUCAACCAGCCUCCCCGUAAAAGCGAGACAGCUCAAACCACCCAAGGAGCUGGGAGAACCCAGAAGACUAAAACAGUAAGAUCCUGGAAGGAUAAAAAAAAGUGUCCAGGAAGAUCUGGGAGUCCUCACCUCCAGCUCUUCAGUAUCCAUCCCAGCUCUACUGUAAUGUUUGAGAAAAUCCUAAGAUGUAGAAAAGAAACGCUCAGGGAGGUUUUGAGGACACCCUCAGAAACUCUCACAUCCUCCCCUUGAAGGCACAGGUGAGGAUGCCCAGGAAGUAUGGGGGGCGCCUUAGGAACUCUGAAGAGAUGAAUGAGAAAAGGGCGGUCCCAACCAGAGGUACCCCCAGGGAACAGGUGGUCCUGACCUUGAGCAACAGCUGGUAUUUCAUGAUCCUCUGUACUGGUUUGAUGAGGAGGUCAUUGAGCUGCAGGCGGUGCCCCAGCUGCUGCCGGAGCUCCUGGGGACAGGGACUGGGUGGUUAUGUAGCCUGGAAAGCCUGAUGAUUCUGUUCCCCUUUCCCCAAGGUGCCUCCGCCACUGACCUCAAAGUAGCUGUCCCCAAACUCUGACACCACGUGCUCGGACUUGGGCUUAUUCUGGCAGUACACCACGUACAUAUGCAGCCUGCGCUCCUAACAGGGGUAAAGUUUAAGGAGAGCAGGAUGGGUGCGGAGAGAAAGCCCCUCUCCAGAGAGCUGUGACCCACUCCCAAGCCCCUCCCCUCCAGGGCCCCACCCUCUUAAGCCUCACGUGUUUGAUGAAUAGCUGAGCCAGCCAAUCAGGAUCCUUCAAACACCGCUGCAGCUCCUGCAGGAAAUAGCUGGAAGGGUUGGCAGGGAAAAGGCUGGUCAAAUACCCCCACCCCACUCAACUUAGAGCUGUCUACCCUAGCUGUGCCAUUAAGCCACUCCAAACGUUCCUCAGGCAACAGUGGGCCCAUGGGUGGGAUACAGAGACUACCAAACAUCUAUGCCCUUCACCCUCACUCUCAGGAAUCCAUCACUCACUCUCGAUGCCACUCAUAGAUUUGCUGGAUGUUCCCAAACACAAUCCUGUCACGGCCUCGAAGACUCUCUGGGACCCCCUGAGCGGCCAUGGUGGCCAUGUAACCCUGUAGGAAGGUUGGGGUGAGAGCGUGAGCGUCAGGGGCCAGCCCUGGUAGGAAAAACCCCUCCCCCCCUAGAAGUCUAGGAUGUAGGGGGGUGCUGGGAAGGUGGGACAGAGGAGUAUCAAGGCAUCCCCUAAAAUUAGCCUUGGGCAGAGGGAAAGGGCUGGGCUACAGCUGAGAAGAGAAAAGGGACCUACCUCCACAAUCUGCCCCAAGUCGUCCACAUACAUUUUCUCUGUCUCUACCAGUUCACUCAAGACAUACCUGGGAAGAGAGCAGGAGUGCACAUGGUUGAUUUAGCAACUUCCUCCCUACUGGACUAGAAGCUCCUUCAUUACCACAACCAACCUCAGAGGAAAUUCCAAGUAUCAAAUCUAAAAUGUGAGGGACAGUUCUCUGGAAGUUGCACAACUGGGGGGCAGGGGGAGGGAGCAAAAGGGAGGGAGAGUGUGGGGACACUUACAUACUCCUUUCCAGAGCCUUCUUCUUCUGUUCCUCCUCACUCUCAGGGGCCUGGGAUAGGGUCUCCUCCUCAGGUGGCUGGAAGGAAAGAACAUCCUAGAGUAAGCAAAUGGAUGCCUUUUGGGGAGCUGUGCAGAUCCAUUUCUUCAUACCUGUGUCUUAUCUCCAGGGCCCUCCAACAAUGUGGUCAGCAGGGUCAGUUCUGGCAGCUCCUCUCCAGUGGCUAGAGCUGGUUCCAGCAUCCAGUUCUGGGAGCCAGAGGUCAAGUGUCAGAGGUCAUGGACAGUAGCUACCUCUCCCCAAUGACCAGUGGCCCCCAACCUGCCCUCUCUCCCAGUGUCCUUCAUGGAUGUCAUACAUGCUUCUGUGGUGCUCCCUGCUCACCUCAUAUGGUCCAGCCUGGCCACCGUCUGCCUCAGUUUCCACACUGAGACAAUGUUUGGAAUGACCCAACCAUCUUCUCAGGCCACUGACUGGCCCUGGGGGGCCCGGGGAACAGGGGCCAGAGCUGAGGCCAGAGCUGGGGCCAGAGAGGGCAGCCAGACCCGAAGCAGCUGAAGCUGAGAUACUCCCCUCACUGCCAGCAAUGGAAUAGGAUUCUAAUGGGGAGUGGGGGAAGAAAAGGGGCCAUAGAUAUUACUCUAGCUCCAGAUGCAGGGCCCCUAGGGAGCUCCCAGAGGCUCCUCUUCAUGAUGCUGAGCCCUCUCCCCCCAGGGCCCACUCUCUUGCCAUCCUCAUUUGAGUUGGCAGGGAUAGAAAAUUUCACCUAGGCACCCUUGGAAGGAAGGACAGUAAACACCUGGGCUCCCAAGGCCUGGAAACCUCCGUUCCCCCAUAUCCUUAGCAUGGCAUAGAUAUGGGGGGGCAGCCAUCUGGGCAGACACUGGAAGCUGAGGGUGGCCAUCUGCUCUCCUACAAUCUGCCCCCUUCCAAUGGGCACAGACCAUUCCCUGAGAAGGUGGGGGGGGGCAGCUAAAAGCCCAUCAGCCACCCCCAGACUCCUCCUCCACCAGUUGCAGUAAUCACUAUAAAAAGAAAAGACUUCUGCAGCCCAUCUCCCCAACACAUGCACAAACCCAAUAGAGGGGGCAAGUGAGGAGAGCUCGUGAGGGCUAUCUGCCCUGGGCCCAGGAACAGAGGAGCUGUGCUUUGUCAUAAAGCCCCUGCUAGACCCCCAUCCUCAUUCCUCCAUUCCUCUGGCCCUUUUCAGAUCUGAAGUAGAUUCUCAGCAAAAGGAUUUAAGGAAGAUGCAGUUCUAGGCCCAAGGGGAUUGUGGAUGGGUUUUUCUCAUACCCAGUUGACUACAAAACAGAGAGCAGAGUCUCCUGCCCCUUCCCCAAUUUCCUUAACUUGAACUGAUAAAAAUUUGGAGGCAGACGGGAUCUUGGAGAUCAUCUA
rnacentral:lncRNA from 1 species